CUAAUGUUGUGAAAGCUUUAAAACUGAGAUCUGUUAUACUUCCUGUCGUUUUGUGUGUUGCGUUGUUCUGUAGAGCCAGGCUUUUUUCACGUCUGUUUAUUUUCUAGGAAAAAAAAGUUAAAAAAAAAACACAAAAAAACAACUAGUAUUUGAAAGCAUGUUUGAAGUUUGACAUUUUAAACAUGAACAUUUUAAACAUGACAUUUUAAAAAUGAACAUAGAGAGCUUGUUAUGUAUUUAAUUUAUUUUGUAAGGAUUCCCUGGACCAAAACGUACUAUAAUUUUAAGUGACAUGUAAAUCCUUAUAGUAGCAAGUAAGUAAUAGAGACAACGUGCACAGUUCCAAAUAUUCUAUUGUUAUAUUGACCUAAUAGCUGAUGUGUGGAGUGUUGCUGAUAUCUGAUGUCUGGGAAUUUUAAGAAAUCUUCAAGACAGCAAAUUUGGAGCAGGGCACCUUGGCUUUGUACAAACCUUUUGUUCUGAAAUAGUGUUAGAUGACUGUCUGUCAUGACACAGCAUCAUCUGUUUAAACAGCUCAGCCAGAACUCACUGGGCAGUAGAGAGAAUUCAGAAGUGUUCUCAGCUAUUGAGUUUCAUGAAAAUGCAUAUCUCAAAAUGCACAGGAGCCUUGCUUGAGAGGAGACACUCACAAGAAUUAGUCUGAUGGAUUUUCUUGCGCUGGAUUAGUCUUGAAAGCUAGUUUUCUCAUCUGUGAUGUUGGAUUCAACUGGGGCCUAGGUGUAGCUACACAUCUACUGUUUGACUCACUUAUUUCACAGUGUACUCUUACAUGGAAAUAAGCACAGCAGGAGUAGCUCUCCCAAAUUUCAUUCUCUCCCUUAUUUGCACCAUCGUGGGAUCAUUACUUGUUUUUGAUAAUGUAGUCAACUAAAAAAUAAAUAGCUGUUCAGUUAUGGCAUUCUGUCUUUCCCCACUGUCUCCCGAAAUAUUUAAAUAGAAAUAUUUAGCUGAGAAAACAUUCUAAGAGCUGUUUUUUAAUCUCUUACAAGAUAACUUUUGUGUCUGCAGGGACAGUUGCGUUAAGAUGAAGUUACCUACUCUACUGGUAAAAAUAAUCUUUCCAUCAAAUGUUCUUUCUUUCUUCAUAGGAGAUUUUCUAGUUAUACAUCCUUUCCCCAUCAAGUUAAUUGGAAGCAUACAUAUCAGAGCAGCAGUUUUCCAGCUGAGAGUGCAGGAAAUUCCUCAUAUGUAUUACCAGUUAUUUAUCUUUAGUUAAUUUCAUCUGCCUUGAAGAUAAGCUCCAAUCUGUGAAUGUACCUAUGCUCUUUUGCAGAGAGUCUAGAUGCAAAAACUCAAUUCAUAUUUUGUAUUCAAUAAGAUGUUGACAAGCAUGGAAGGAAUUUCUGAAGAUUUUAAAUAUUCAUGCUUCAGCAGCUCUCUGAAUGACUACUAUGUUUGCUUUUUAAUUUUAUUGAAUUAGCUCGUUUGCUUUUUACAAAAAAAAAAGAAAAAAAAAUCUUUCAGCAGACUCUUUGGUGAUUUUUGGAGUUUCCUGGCACUUAUCAUCUCUUCCACUUUGGUAUUUUUAGCCCCUUACCUCCUUUGGAUGAAACUUGCUGCGAGCUCUGUCAGGCUUUGCUAGUAUGUACAUGCUGGCCCAAAGAAGUGGUGACCUUUGAUUUUGCUUAUUAGACCUGGUUAUAAGAAUAUCCAAGAAGUUCAGAGUGAUGUUCUCUAAAAUAUUGUAGUUGUAACACUUUUCAAAGGAGAAUGAAACACUCUACUUUCUAUCCUAUCUUUCCCCCCCAUUACUAGUCUCAGUUAAUUGUGUUGCGUUCAUGUCUAGCUCUUGAGAGAGAUGAUCUACCUAAAUGACUGUCAGAUGCUUUGCUUUUGCAACCUUAGUUUCCUGUUCAUGCUGCCUGUGAUCUGCCUGCAGAGACUCCUUUGGCAUUUUUCCACGGUUCAUGCAGAUAAGUGCUGCUUACCAAGGUGUCAUUUAAGUGUACUUGAAAUUCAGAGUCAUUUUUGUUUGUUAUGACAUCAAAAUGACCUAAGAAAUGCAGUUGUGUAACUGCUGCUGAAAUACACUGCAUUCUGGAUGUUAUAUUCAAUGCCAUCUUUAUUUGAAAGUCGCUUCUAUACAGCCUCCACUGCAUGAGCAAGGCAGUAGAGAAAUGUAAAUUGUCUCCAGUGUUUGCUGAAAGAAUUGCUCACACUCUGGACGUGUUGGUCUGGGGAGGGAAUCACUCACUAAAGGAUAAUGUAGGGCAGAAUUUUGUUUUUUAAAUGGAAAUAUUGCUUUUUCACAGUAAUAAGAAAAGGAGCAAAAGGCCUUUUUUGUGAUACUGACUGAUACUGUUCAGUGGCACGUGAAACAAGAAAAAGUAAUAGCACAGAUAUUUUUAAGUUAAAUUAAAAAUGUGAUGGACUCAUUUCUCAUGUGGUAGCCAUGCCUAUUCUUGCCUCAAUAGGUUUGAUAAGUUCUCCAGUAUGUGCUGCCUUAAGCAAGUGACUGUUUCACAUCAGCUUCAUAAAACAAGCCUGAAUUUACAUGCAUAUGGAGAGUCAGAGUUUAGAUUCUUUUUGUUUCUGCUCUCAAUUAAUAGUUCUUUUAUGUGUAGACCUUCUAUUAUGUGACCUGUGGAGUGGUAGGGUUUGUUUGCUCUGCAGUGUUUGGUCUUUAGUGGCACAGAAGCAGUUGUGCAUGAUCCACUCCAGUUUUCAUGCCACUCAAUGCAUGGAUUUUUUGGCAACCAUUCAUAAUGAACAGCAGAAGUUGUGACAAUCUCACCUGAAAGAAAAUGGAAAAUAAAAAUAAAGGAAACUGUCAUUCCAAUUCCAUUUUUUCAACUCCUAUUUUAAGCAAAUGUGGAAUGGUGGGACUGUUUAUUAUUUCCUUGGCAUACUGUCUGUCAGUGACUGACAGCGACAAGGUCGAAAUAAGCCAAGCAUAAAAACACGUCAGCAUCAGAAAAUUCAAUAUUUCAAAAUGUUCAUUUAGUAAGUGAGGAACUGGUUAUCUGAAUUUUGCUUUGUAAUUUUGCAUCUAGGACCUCACAGCUCUCACAUACUCUCAUCUUUGCAUCCUACAAGUGGGUGCGGGACCCAGAAGUGCUUUAAGACCUUUAAGUGCUUUAAGGGCCAAUAAAAGAGUCCUGUGCUUAUCUGCUUUAGGCUGACUUAACUUUGUUAGGUUGUAUUUCAAAAAACACAUCUUGCCGCAAUGCUAAUGUUGAAUUCAUACAAAUUUACUAGAUUAUUUUAGAUGUAAGUCCUAGCAGAGACUCAGACUAGAUACAAAAUAAACUUUCAAAGAGUUAUAUUAAAGUAAAAAUGGGAUUCUUAUUUAUCAGAAAAAGAAAAAAACACCCCUGUCUCCGGUCCCUUUCUCCUCCCCUCCUCAUGAAAAAUUGAGACAUAUGAAGUUUCACCACCCCUGUAAUGUGUGUGAGGCUACCGUGCUGCACAGCCAUUCCACAGUGCUUAAACUUCAGUGAAACUUAAACCACUCGCUGUGCUGGUGGCCAUGGGUGCUGCCUGAGAGCACUGGGGACGUGUUGAGAGCAUUCCUGAGACAUGCAGAAAAUGGGCUGUGACAUUGGAGUCCUUCAAUUGCUGUUUCUGGGCAUCUUCAGCAGUAAUGAGCAUGUGAAGUGGAGAGGCAGCUAAAGCACAGCUGGAUUUGUGAGAAAAGAGUCAAGUGUCUGCUGGUUUUGACUUUCUGCAUAGGAUGCUGAGCUUGGGGCUUACUCUGUCUAACUUGGAUGCCCAAGCACUAUGUGUGUGCUAGUUGCACCAUGCCCCCGUGCAGUUGGUAGGAAGGAAGUGCUCUCAGGCGAGACAUCCUCUGCUGAUGAGAACCAGAGUGAGGUCAGACCCCGCUCUGAAGGUCAUUCCUCUUCUCACAGCUAUAAGGAGGGAGUAAAACUGAAGUGUUACUGGUUCCCAGUUUGUCUUUCAGGCACUAAGUCUUGCAUUUGAACAUGUAAAACAUUUAUGGAAGCAGCACUGCACUACCUUUGAAGGCAGUCGUAUUUAUGUAGAAAUAAUGGUAACUCUAUUGAAACAUACUCUACAGCUACUGAAAUGUGGAUGCCUUCAUGCCUUAGUUUGCAAGACAUUCUGUCAUCUCACACUACUGCUCUGAUCUAACUCCAUUUUUUUACGAGGGAAAGUGAAAAAACACUUCUAAAUAGGAUUGACUGCUUUAAAUAAGAUUGCAGUUACAACCUGUUAGCUGAACUCUAAUUGUUUGUGCUGAGACAUGAUGAGGGUUCAUCAUUCUGCACUGGUUUUAAAGUGCAGACAUAGGGAACCAUACAUUUAGCUACUUGAACUCUUAGAGCAGCAGAGUGAAAGGGAAUUGAUGGGACAGUUACAGCUAGGGAAGCUUUGCUGGAUCUGCGCCGUCCGGAACUCUGCUAGUGUUGCUAGUGAGUGGGCUUUGAGGGCAACGAUUACCCUGUGCAGUACUCCAACAGCAUUUCGUCUUCAUAGUUAUUUGCAGGUCAAUAACUCAUGAAUUGGUUUGCCCUGUAAACCAGACCAGAUAUUCCUGAUUUGCGUGUUGUCAUUUAACCCAGCAAGCUGCUAAGUACCACCUGGCGGCUCGCUCACUCCCCCUCAGUAGGGUGGAAAAGAGAAUUGAGAAAGAUAAACGUGGGAGAAUUCCUGGGCUGAGAAAAGGACAGUUUAAUGUGAAAGAAAUAAUAACUUGAAAUUAAGAAGAAAAAAAAAAAAAAAAAAGGUGAGGAAGGCUGCUCACCAGCAGCUGACCAAUGCCCUGCUGGACACAGAGUGAAGGCAGCUCCUGUGGCCAGCUUCUGCAGCUUUUAUUGCUGAGCAAGGCACCCUUGGUAUGGAAUAUCCCUUUGGCCAGCUUAGAUCAGCUCCUGGUUUUGUCCUGUUUUGUUCCUUGUGCCUCCUGGCCUCCUCACUAGCAGAACAGUGUCAGAAGCAGAACUGUCCUUGAUUUGGCGCAGCAAUGCUCCCGGCGUUGGUGUAUUAUCAAUGUCAUUUUCAUCCUGUGUUCCAAACACAUCACAGUGCCAGAUGCUCUGAAGAAAAUUAAUUCUAUCCCAGCCAAAGAUAGGCUAACAUGGCAAGGUGCUAAUAUCACUGUCCACAUGGAGCUCUACUACAGUCUUCUACGUAAUCCUCCAGUGAGAAAGCUGGUUUCUUGUUUCUCCCCCCAAUGCUUACCUGCUGAGCUAGGAAUGACAGAGUGAGAGGGGAUUUUUAAUCACGAUGAGAAUUAAAUAUACAUGGCAGUAUUUCCAUGAUUUGGUGAAAAAUCUGCAGGAGAAUGUCCCCAUAAGGAAGAAUUGCUUGUGGCGUGAUUUCAGUAGCCUAGUAAGAAGAACGAUCAGCAGUUAGUGUUUAUUGUUGUCAUUAAUUUUCUCUUCUUUCAGGUAUUAGCAAUGCAGAAGCACGCCAACCAGGGAAAGCACCAAAUUUCAGUGUAAAUUGGACAGUGGGAGACAGUGGUCUUGAAGUUAUUAAUGCUACAACUGGCAAAGAUGAAAUGGGGCGUGCAUCUCGCCUCUGUAAGCAUGCUUUGUACAGCCGCUGGAUGCAUGUUCAUGCAAAGCUUUCGUCCAGCUUGUGCUUGAAGAUCUUCAAGCCUAACCUGUAUCAUGAAACCAAGCAAGGAGCCACUGAGUAUCAAACUGCCAAAGAGUGUUUAUUUAAAGCAUUCCUGAAGGCAGGACUUGGAGUAUGGGUGGAGAAACCCAUAGAACAGGAUCAGUUUUCACUCACAGUCUAAUUCACAGUCUGCACGUCAGUUUGGAAGGGGAGUCACUUUGGAAAUCCUGGUGUCCAGCAUUGCUUUCUGGCAUCUCCAUACCUGUUAAAACAUCUUUUUACUGUUUUUUCUUUUUCAAAACUUGGUAGUAACUGUUUUGGUUUUGCCUAAGUAUUGAAACUCAAUGAUAAUCUGACACAUAAUUGUGUAUUUUGUUAUGAGAAAGUAAUUUCUGGUGUAUUUCUAGAAAUACUUUUACUGUAGAAAAUCUGCAGUAAGGCUGUUUGUCCUUACAGUAUACAAUGACUCAUUUUUUCUGGGUUAAAAUAAUUGCUUUUUUAAUUUGAUGUCAUCAAGUGCAUGAAGAAAUAAAUAUUUAUUUAGAUUUUACACCACACUUGUAAGAAGUAGCUUAAUUUUGUAAGAGGAAAAUAGGCAACAAAGAUGAUUCUUCUCCUCUUUUAAGUUGUUUUUGAAUUGCAGAUGUUGCUAGCAUCAUCUACAUCAUCAUACAUGCUAGAUGUUGCUAGCAUGUAGCUAGACCACUGGGCCAGAAUGAAGUCUGGACAAGUAGUUUUCCCCACUUCCUUGCUCUUUAAAACCAGCUGCUGAGAAAUUCAUGUCUUUGAUGUAUGUAUUUAUUAGUCUAUGAUCCCAUUUUUAACAUGCAGCUUUCUAUUCUGGUUUUAAAAAUACAUUUACCUCCCGUUUACACACAUUGUGAAGUCUUUUUUUUUUUUAAACCAUUGUAAACUGGAAACAACAAAAUGAUUAUUUGUAAGUUAAGCAGUUUAGUCUAUAAUGUGCAGAACUCUGUUUAGAUGUAGGUGAUUUGUAUAUCCUUUUAACUCAUUAGAGUUACAAUAGUAAUUACAACAUGACAACUUAGGAAAAUUUGCUCAUUUUGAGGUCACUAAGCUUGAAUGGCCAAAAAAAAGUCAUUCAGUGAACAUUAAUUGUUCUCUUCUUUAAGAAAUGAAAAGCUCUUGUAUGGACAAAAAGGUUGUUAAAACUUCUCUUCUGCUUUCAUUCAAGUUGUUAUGUCCUUUUCAAGAUUUCAUUACCUUUUGGCUUUACAUGUGUGAUGGUCUUCAUGAAACUAAUUGGGUAAGUUGCUCUUAAAUGUGGUUUAAUCUGCUUUGACAGUUAGUUAGGUCUUCUUCAUAAAGGUGUAAACACUUCAGCUUUAUGUAAAAAUGUAAAAUAGAAAGAAAAUAUUUUGAGAUUUGUUUGAUUAGCUGGUGUACUAAAGGCACUAUUAAAAACUCUUUUUAGUAUAUGAUAUUUAGGUGUGGAUUAGAGAAUGUCUGAAACCAGUUAUCUGCUCCCAAAGUCUAUGUCCAAACCCAUCCUGUGGCUCAUACCUUUUCAAGUGUCAUGCUUGCUUUUUGGAAAGCCCCUUGGUGAUCAUCAUUCUUUUGCAAACAGUGAAGGAGAUGUUCCUUGACACAGAAGUUUCUGACACAAAACCCAAGCCAAGUGUGUCUAAGCUGAGGGGCCCUGUCCCUCAGCUCUACAUCCCCACUUCUUGCCUGCGCUGCCCAGGACAUCAGAUCCAUGGACUGGUCCAUACUUUGAAGUCAAGGGUUGUUUUGAGACCUGCACGGGGUCAGAGAUGCAGCUUUGGGUUGUGUUGGCACAUUUGUGGGGGAAGUGAAGUGGAGCAGAGGAAUUCUUCAGCCAGCCCUAUGGCUAAAGCCUUUGCCUUCUGAAGCUGUCACUGAAGUUACCAUACCUCAGACCAAGCAUCUCUUGGGGGGUUACCGACUACUUGGACCACUGGAGACUUUGUAGAAAGCACUUCUGGCCUAUCAUGAACGUCAAGGAGACAUGCUGCUUUGUUAUUUCCCAAGUAGGAACCCUAUUUCAACUUCAAAAAAGGUCAGGCCUGAUAAAUCACUAGUGUGUUAGUUUCAGCCUCUGGAUUAGUGUCUUGGCAGUGGUGCGUGGAAAUGCAAUUGGUGUGCUUUUGAUGGUAGUACGGAUAAUAGCAAGCACUGCAGGAAGGCAAGCAAAUCCACGGAUCCCUUCAGAAAAGACUGAUGCUUCCAGAGGCUACCAAGUUUUCCAGGUGCCAGUGGAACAAAUGUGCGCUGUAGUAGACAGGCUGUGUUGAUUCAGCUUUGUUGGCAGCUUAAGCUGUACUGUCUGUUUCUGCAUUACAACCGGGAGUGCUCUCAUGGCCUCUGCCAGCUCCACGAAGCAGGAGGGCAACAGUUUCUGAAUGCAGUCUGGGCCUUUGCCAUUGUCAUUUCACUGAGGUUCAGACUGACUUAUUCUAAAGCUAAAAGUAAUCAAACGAUUUUUGGUCAGAAUUUGCAAAUGCUUGGGCGUUACUAUUAAGAUCAGUCCCAUCUUGUGAAUGUUGCAGAAAUGCCUUUAUGGCUGUAAAUAAAUCCGUGCAUAUAUUUUGCAGGAUUGAAGGAAAGCUGGUUGCUCUGUGUGCAUUUUUGUGGGAUCAUUAGCAUUAAUAAGUGAGACACACAUUUUUAAGGGACUUGGUCUGUUGAUAAAUGAGGUCUGUUUAUAAUUUCAAACAAAUAACUUUUACCCAUCUUUCUCAAUUACUCAAUGAGACGUUGAUCUCUCUUUGGAUUUUUUUGAACACUAGGAAAGUAUUAGCUCAAACUAUUUUUUUUAUUAAGUCACAAAUAUGAGCAAUAUAUUUAAGUAUUAUUAUAGACAUAGUUUUUUAAGCUGUUCAAAUGAAUAAUUUUAAUGAAACUGUAAAGGAAAUCUGUUCCAUGUCACAAUCUUUUGAUGAAGGAAUGGUGCCAGGUUAUUUAUGAGGAAUGAGUUCUCUCAUUUAUAAUUCCAGGAUUUUAAAAAGUAAGAAGUUUUCCAGGGUUGUAUGCAAUCCAUAUCUGUCUUGUGGGAGUCAAUAAAAUACUGCUUGGCUUCCUUCA